UUAAAUCUGAAAUAUUUUGACGGCAGCUAACACAUUCAAACACGCUGAGUUCAAAUCCGAAAAGUUCCCACUCAGUAGACCAAUUUAUCUUCAAUAAUCUCACGACAAAUUUUUCAUUGUUCAACGACACGGAUCGAUGACAAUACGCGAUCAUGUCACUCAAUAGGACCAUGCAAUUUUAUUAACCAGUCUUCCUUUUAACA